rnacentral:ncRNA from 1 species
AAUAAAGUUUUAUUCUAGCUUGAUAUUUUAGUUUUUAAAAUUAUUUAUAUGUAAAUUUAAGUGUUUAUAGGAAAUUUUUUAGAUAAAAAUUUAAUAGUUAUUGAUAUUCGCAGUAUUUAGUUUUGUUUAUUAAGGAGAUUUAGAUUUAGAUAUUUAUAAUAGUAUUAACAAAAUUUGUGCCAGCAGUUGCGGUUAAACAGGUGUUACAAUUAAAAUUUUUUCGAUUAAUAAUUAGUGAUUAUUUUAAAAUUUAAAAUUAAAUUUAUUAGGUGAAAUUUGUAAAUUUAAUAAAAAUUUAUAUUUAGGUUAUGAGGUUAUGAGAUUUUUUUAGUAAACUAGGAUUAGAUACCCUAUUAUUGAAAAUGUAAAAUAUAUAUAUAUAUAUAUAUAUAUAUCAGAUUAGUAAUUGUUAUGUUCUUGAAAUUUAAAGAAUUUGGCGGUAUUUUAGUCCAUUCAGAGGAACCUGUCCUAUAAUUGAUGGUCCACGAUUAAUUGUACUUAAUUUAAAGGUUUAUAUAUCGUCGUAGGUUGAAUGUUUUAGAAGAAUUAGAAAUGUUCAAGAUUUAGUUUGGUAAAGGAAAUCAGAUCAAGGUGUAGCGUAUAAUUAAGAAGAGAUGGGUUACAAUAAAUUUAUUUAGAUGGUUAGAAUAAUUAAAAUUAUUUUAUAAAGUGGAUUUGACAGUAAUAUAAUUAAUUUAAUUUAUAUGAUUUUGGCUCUAAAAUAUGUACAUAUCGCCCGUCGCUCCCUUUCUAAGAGGGGAUAAGUCGUAACAUAGUAGGUGUACUGGAAAGUGUACCUAGAAUGAU